GACUCUGGAUCCGCCGAGCGUGCAAACAAACUAACCAACAUAUUCGUGUGCUAUUAAAGUUAAAUUAUUGUUCUGAGAAUUUGUAUUUUUAUAGUAUUAAAAUAUUUUUAUUAAGUGCAAUCAAGCGUUCGCUUGGAACAGGUGGAAUUAAUAAUAUUUUCUAUAUCGAAAAUAUAAAAGCGAGUUUUAUUUGUUUUAUUUUAGUUUCGAUUCACACUGAGAUGCUUCUAUUCAAAUUGUUAUUUUUAAUUAUGGGUGUAUGUACCCAGGCAUGUCCCCAAUACAGCCAGGACUUGCAAUACGACUCAGGAAUGCCAGCGAUAUCAAAAAUUGCUACAUUUCCACUAAAAACUAUACAAAUGCCAUUCGAUCUAUUUGGAAGGGCAAUGGGGUGAAAUAAAUGGUUAUUAAUUA